UACGUAGGGGGCAAGCGUUGUCCGGAUUCAUUGGGCGUAAAGAGCGUGUAGGCGGCCAGGUAGGUCGGUUGUGAAAACUGGAGGCUCAACCUCGAGAUGUCGGCUGAAACCAUCUGGCUAGAGUCCGGAAGAGGAGAAUGGAAUUCCCGGUGUAGCGGUGAAAUGCGCAGAUAUCGGGAAGAACACCCGUGGCGAAGGCGGUUCUCUGGGACGGUACUGACGCUGAGACGCGAAAGCGUGGGGAGCGAACAGG
rnacentral:rRNA from 1 species